GUCUACGGCCAUACCAACGCGUCCGAUCUCGUCUGAUCUCAGAAGCUAAGCAGGGUCGGGCCUGGUUAGUACUUGGAUGGGAGACAGUCUCUCACUAGCCUGUAAAUCAGUAGCAGAGGCU
rnacentral:rRNA from 1 species